rnacentral:rRNA from 1 species
CUUCCGUAGGGUGAACCUGCGGAAGGAUCAUUAUCAAUUUUACAGUCCUGGGAUGGGGGUAUAAAAGCCCCCUUCCCAUGCUGUUCAACCCUUUGUCUUUUGCGUACUGUAUGUUUCCUCGGCGGGUUCGCCCGCCGAUAGGACACUUCAAAACCUUUUGUAAUUGCAAUCAGCGUCAGAAAAACUAUAAUAGUUACAACUUUCAACAACGGAUCUCUUGGUUCUGGCAUCGAUGAAGAACGCAGCGAAAUGCGAAAAGUAGUGUGAAUUGCAGAAUUCAGUGAAUCAUCGAAUCUUUGAACGCACAUUGCGCCCCUUGGUAUUCCAUGGGGCAUGCCUGUUCGAGCGUCAUUUGUACCCUCAAGCUCUGCUUGGUGUUGGGUGUUUGUCCCGCCUUCGCGCGUGGACUCGCCUUAAAGUGAUUGGCAGCCGGAAUAAUUCUGGGGAACGCAGCACAACUGCAGCCUCCAUUUUACGCCGAGCGUCCAGUAAGCCUUUUUUCAACGUUUGACCUCGGAUCAGGUAGGGAUACCCGCUGAACUUAAGCAUAUCAAAAGCGGGAGGAA